AUUGAACGCUGGCGGCAUGCUUUACACAUGCAAGUCGAACGGUAACAGGGAGCUUGCUCCGCUGACGAGUGGCGAACGGGUGAGUAAUGCGUCGGAACGUGCCGAGUAGUGGGGGAUAACGCAUCGAAAGGGGUGCUAAUACCGCAUACGAACUGAGGUUGAAAGUGGGGGACCUUCGGGCCUCACGCUAUUCGAGCGGCCGACGUCUGAUUAGCUAGUUGGUGGGGUAAAGGCUCACCAAGGCGACGAUCAGUAGCGGGUCUGAGAGGGAUGAUCCGCCACACUGGGACUGAGACACGGCCCAGACUCCUACGGGAGGCAGCAGUGGGGAAUUUUGGACAAUGGGCGCAAGCCUGAUCCAGCCAUGCCGCGUGUCUGAAGAAGGCCUUCGGGUUGUAAAGGACUUUUGUCCGGGAGCAAAUGCUGGUGGCUAACAUCCACCGGAGCUGAGGGUACCGGAAGAAUAAGCACCGGCUAACUACGUGCCAGCCGCCGCCGUAAGAC
rnacentral:rRNA from 1 species